rnacentral:lncRNA from 1 species
AGCCCUGUUCCCUCCUGGAAGGAGGGGACGAGGGAGGUCCUCGCACCAGCUUCCUGCCGGGGUGGCAGUCUCACCGGGGCUGCCAGGACCGGGCUGGGCGAGCAGGAGCUGCAGGGGUGGCAGAGCAGGGGUGAGAACGGCAUGGGCGCUGCCCUUGGUACUUCCGAUGCCGACGGAGCUCUGGGCGCCCCUGACUGCAAUAUUCCUCUUCUCCAGGGUUUGUGGUUUAAAAUGUCAAUGCAGAGGAGGAGUGGGAGGUAAGGAGCUUCGCAGUGGGGGAGCUGGAGAGCACCGAGGAGUGGAGAGGACAACCUCGGGCUGCAAGAGGCUGCUGUGAGAUAAUGUUUCAGAAGAUGGAACAGACACAUCUACAGCAGAGAGACUUCAAAUGGGCUGGGAAGCUUGCAGCAGCUCUGCACAACGGAGAUGGUGUGCAGUCAAUCAUUGGAUUCCCCCAUCCUGCACGCUGCAUAUUUAAUGGCUCUUUGGGUCUCAAUGUUUAAAUCUAUCUAAUAAGCAUUUAACUGCCGCUCAAUAUUUAAUGCUUCAGUGUUGAGUGUAAUAAUCCCAUGUAUCAACGUGAGUGCUGGUCCAUCAUCCUGGGCAUGGGGAGGAGCAUGCUGCAGGAGAGGCUCUGCCACAGGGCACAUAGUAAGGGGAGAACUGCUCCAUGACACAAUUUGCAUGGGUGUCAGGUUAUCUCUACACAAUGAGCUGAACCACAGGGCAACAGGAACCGGCCACAGGAGACUGGUAAAGAGCAAAGAUACAUCAAAGGCAGGCAAAGCAGGACAGCCUGCACAUCCAGCACUCCCUGCUCUCCCCCACAGUCCUCCUCCGUGAGUGCAGAGCAUUUGCCAUGUGGCUGGCUUGUGUGCAGGUGCACAUAUCUCCCCCUGCACUGUGUUUGUGUGUGCACUUCAGUGAGCUUGCACGUCACCUAGUUGUUCUGAGACGGCUUUCACUCCCUUUGGGUCUGGUUCUGCUUGCUGGGGCCUCUGCCACCUUGCAGAAAAGCUGAACCCCAAGGCAUUUGUUUAGGAGCAGUUCCAGUAGCUCUGUACAGAUUGUUCCUGAGCUCACAUACCCAUGCAAAAGAAUAAAAUAGUGCAGCUGGAAGGGCCCUUCA